rnacentral:rRNA from 1 species
GUUGGGUAGGGGAGCGUUCUGUAAGCCUGCGAAGGUGGCCUGUGAGGGUUGCUGGAGGUAUCAGAAGUGCGAAUGCUGACAUAAGUAACGAUAAAGCGGGUGAAAAGCCCGCUCGCCGGAAGACCAAGGGUUCCUGUCCAACGUUAAUCGGGGCAGGGUGAGUCGACCCCUAAGGCGAGGCCGAAAGGCGUAGUCGAUGGGAAACGGGUUAAUAUUCCCGUACUUGGUGUUACUGCGAAGGGGGGACGGAGAAGGCUAUGUUGGCCGGGCGACGGUUGUCCCGGUUUAAGCGUGUAGGUGUGUGUUCCAGGUAAAUCCGGUUCACUUUAACACUGAGGCGUGACGACGAGGCACUACGGUGCUGAAGCAACAAAUGCCCUGCUUCCAGGAAAAGCCUCUAAGCAUCAGGUAACAUCAAAUCGUACCCCAAACCGACACAGGUGGUCAGGUAGAGAAUACCAAGGCGCUUGAGAGAACUCGGGUGAAGGAACUAGGCAAAAUGGUGCCGUAACUUCGGGAGAAGGCACGCUGACACGUAGGUGAAGUGAUUUACUCACGGAGCUGAAGUCAGUCGAAGAUACCAGCUGGCUGCAACUGUUUAUUAAAAACACAGCACUGUGCAAACACGAAAGUGGACGUAUACGGUGUGACGCCUGCCCGGUGCCGGAAGGUUAAUUGAUGGGGUCAGCGCAAGCGAAGCUCCUGAUCGAAGCCCCGGUAAACGGCGGCCGUAACUAUAACGGUCCUAAGGUAGCGAAAUUCCUUGUCGGGUAAGUUCCGACCUGCACGAAUGGCGUAAUGAUGGCCAGGCUGUCUCCACCCGAGACUCAGUGAAAUUGAACUCGCUGUGAAGAUGCAGUGUACCCGCGGCAAGACGGAAAGACCCCGUGAACCUUUACUAUAGCUUGACACUGAACAUUGAGCCUUGAUGUGUAGGAUAGGUGGGAGGCUUUGAAGUGUGGACGCCAGUCUGCAUGGAGCCGACCUUGAAAUACCACCCUUUAAUGUUUGAUGUUCUAACGUGGACCCGUGAUCCGGGUUGCGGACAGUGUCUGGUGGGUAGUUUGACUGGGGCGGUCUCCUCCUAAAGAGUAACGGAGGAGCACGAAGGUUGGCUAAUCCUGGUCGGACAUCAGGAGGUUAGUGCAAUGGCAUAAGCCAGCUUGACUGCGAGCGUGACGGCGCGAGCAGGUGCGAAAGCAGGUCAUAGUGAUCCGGUGGUUCUGAAUGGAAGGGCCAUCGCUCAACGGAUAAAAGGUACUCCGGGGAUAACAGGCUGAUACCGCCCAAGAGUUCAUAUCGACGGCGGUGUUUGGCACCUCGAUGUCGGCUCAUCACAUCCUGGGGCUGAAGUAGGUCCCAAGGGUAUGGCUGUUCGCCAUUUAAAGUGGUACGCGAGCUGGGUUUAGAACGUCGUGAGACAGUUCGGUCCCUAUCUGCCGUGGGCGCUGGAGAACUGAGGGGGGCUGCUCCUAGUACGAGAGGACCGGAGUGGACGCAUCACUGGUGUUCGGGUUGUCAUGCCAAUGGCACUGCCCGGUAGCUAAAUGCGGAAGAGAUAAGUGCUGAAAGCAUCUAAGCACGAAACUUGCCCCGAGAUGAGUUCU